ensembl:lncRNA
UUCCUUCAGUAAGUAAAUUCCAGCUAAUUAAAGGUUUCCCUUUUUUCUCAUGGCAAGCAUGUGAAAAGUGUGGUUUAACCUCUCCACACCUACAACCAAGUGCCUUGUCUUCCUGUGCCUUCUGUGACACAUCCUGUUCCAGAACACAGAAACUUACUUGGGCAGGCACUGAAAGAGAAUCAGUAUGCAACCAUAAAGAAUUUGCUUUUAAAAACUGCAUCCUUCCUACUGAAAUGAAGAAAGGUAGAAUUUUCUGUAAAGUGCAGCAUUGAAAUAGGAAGACAUAUCCCCACUUGGAAAGUGCUGAGCUACUGGGAAGCUAUAGCGUGUUUACGGACUCGGCUUUCUGAGCAAUCUCCAGAGCUUGAAGAGAUUACAGUGAUAUUUUAACAAGGCUGCUGGCAUCCAUCACCGGCUUUUACUUACUGAGAAGGCUGAAGGAUGGAAGAAUGCAAUUAUUUCCAUGUUAACUAAAUAUUAGUGGCAGAUUGUCAUGGGAACUUCAACUUCUUCAUCUCCUGCCAGGUGCACAGUCCCUCUGAUGACGCCACAAAUCUGGGAAUGAAGAACUUCUUCGACCUGAUUGGAAAUGGCAUUGCGGAGCUGAAACUUAACUGGAGGAAACAUAGCUCCCGAAGAAGGAAAUAUAAUGCACUUUAAAGAUCUGACUUCUGGUGAAAAAUUCAAGCCUAGAGAAAACUUGUCCGCUUUGUUCAGAAGAAUGGGUUGGACAAUUUUCUUCAGUUCCACAGGAUAUCUGAGUGCCAUGCUGAGCUUGAUCUCUGCAGCAUGCUCUGUGCUUCUCAUCUCUUCCUGAUGCACUGCAUGAUUAUCCUGAAGGGGAGGAUAAAGAAACUGGCCACCAAGAUGGUAAUCACUAGUGGAAAUGAAGAAGAUAAAGGCAGUCAAGAAAAGGAAAGCAAAGAAGAAACCAUCUUGGCAAUGCUUGGAAUUAUUGGGACAAUUCUGAACCUCAUUGUGAUCAUUUUUGUGUACAUUUACACAACGUUGUAAACUAGCAGGCAUGCAAAUAGAACAGAUAAAACGGCCAUUAAGAGUGACAACAAACAUUGCUGACUAUUGACAAGUUGUUUAAUCAGAAUUGACUCUGUAUUAUAUUAACACAUCAUAAAAGCACUGCCUGCAGGCAGCGAAGGCUGAAGCACAAUUAAUUUAACAAGACUUCUUCACGCAGUAACAAGCUAAACUCUUCUGUCCUGCCCUCUUCCUUUCGCUUUGGUUUUCGGUUUGGGGGAAACAUGACUGCAAUUAUGUAAGUUGUAGCUUUGAAGAAAUCCACCCGGGUUAUGUUAUUUUAACACAAUUUAAAAAGAGGGGAAAAAAAAGAAAAAAAAAAAAAAGAAACUGUACACUAUAUACAAUUAAAAAUGUAUACUGUAUACCUGCAAAGAUGGAGCUCUAUGAUAGCUACAUAGCACAGAUCACGUGUCCGUUAGGUCAAAUGAUAUUUUUUCUCUUGGUUUAUGCUUUUACUUACAUCGAAUCUGACAGGCUUUUUGUUUAGAAUGAACAUAUGGUGCAAUCAUGAAAAAAAAAAAAAACCAACAAAAAAACCAAUUCUAUUGAGCAAGAUCUGCCUAAAACUGAUGCGAUGUUGGGAGAAAUGUGGUAUGUGGUUAUUUUAACUUUCUCAUUUGCUUAACAUCUGUGUCUGUUCAUACCAAUGUUUAUAAAUAUAUAUUUUUAAUAAAUGUGCUAUAUUUUUAGCA